UGAUUUAAUUUUAAAUUUAAAAGUCAUUCAUGACUACCUUAUCAACUUGAAAAGGUAAUUUGGAGAUUGGUUGGAAAGUUAGAUAAUAUUUUUCUAUUUAUGGAGAUUAAUUAAUUUGAUUUGACAUUAAUUUUAAACUUUCCUUUUAAUAUAAAAUUUUAAUAACUUCUAAGUAAAAGGUCAUAUAAGUCUUUAUACUUUAUUUUUUAAAGAAGUUUCCCCUUUAGGAAUUAUAUUAACUACAAUAUAGUAAAUUAAAACUUGUCUAAUACACUAACAGGCAUAUGAAAAUUGAACCAAAUUUUGAUACUAAUCUUGACUUGGUUGUUUUCAUUUGUGCUCUUGUAGAUCUCAGAUUAGUUUAAUUUCUUAAAUUUGACAUAUUGGAUUAAGAUAUAUACCAUAAGUUUGGCAUAUAUUUUUUUACUCAUUUUAUAUCUUUUUUUUCAAUGAAAUAAUUUAGAUAAAAUGUGUAAUUCCACCUAUUUACCUAAAAACUAGAUGUUGUUGCAUGUAUACACUAUCAUUUAUUUUUUAAUAAAUAUAAUUAACUUUAUUUAUUUUUCAUUGUCAGGAUUGCAAAGUUUUGUCAUAUGUUGACAAGGUUUGUGGGUUUGUAAAAUAUAGUCUAGAUUAUGUGUUAAGAACAAGAAACCAAUUAUACCAAUUUUAUUAUUUAUUUCUCAAGUUAGUCUACCAAUGUAGGUUUAGAGUACAUCACUUAACAAAAGCUGUCCAAAUUCAUGAGCAUACCAUAUUUAUGUGGAGUUUGUUGUAGAUUUCCAAUAAGUUAAAAGAAACUUUAUUGUCUUUUCAAUGCCUUCUUCAACCUUGUGCACUCCACCUUAUACAAAGAAAAGAAGAGGAGAGGUCAUUUCUAAUUUUUGUUUUUUAAGUGGACCUUCAUUUAAAGUAUUUGAGGCCUCUUUCAAUAUUAAAUGUAUAUAUUAUUUUAUUACUAAAAGUUACUCUAGAUGGUUGAGUGACUACACAACUAAUCCUAAUUUAAAAAUAUAAAAGUUUUUAGUAUUCUUUAUGUGGGUUCAUAAAUGUGUUCUCCUUCCCUCCUUAUUACGUUUCUAUUUUUUUUCUUUUUUCUUUUAUAAAAAAACAAGAGAUCCAACUUUCAAUGUUUUUUAAUAAUAUAUGUUCAUUAUUAUUGAAUGGAAUGAGAUGUAGUGAUUAGACAAAGUGGUCUUCUAUUGUUGAUACAGGAAAACAAGUUAUCAUUUUAUAUGACAAUUAGGAGUAGAAGGUAAUGAUUGUGACAACUAGGAGUAGAGGGCAAGAUGCACAUAAGACAUUGUUUUUAAAGGCAAGUAUCUCCUCUAUUUAUAAAGGUAAUCCACCACUACACUAGAAACUUCUCUCUUAAAGAUAGAAUAGCUUGAAAGGAUGACUAAAUAGAAGAUAAAAUUUUAUUUCUAUUACUUUACAAAUUAAUUAUUUACUUUUAUAAUUGCAUAGGAGUUAUAUGUUAUCCUAAACAAGACAAUGAUACAUUUCAUGGUUUUAUUGAAAUAAAAUAUAAAAAGAAGUUUAUUUUCCUAUCCUUGGAUUCUUAUCAUACACUUACCUAAUGAUUUAUAUUUUCAAAAACUUUGAACAAGCACCUCUUAUCAACUCAAUAAAAUUAAAAGUCAAAGGAACUAAAAUAAAAGUAAAAACUAAUCAAGUAAAUAAAAAAUAAAAAUAUAAGAAAUUAAAAAAGAAAUUAAUAUUAACAUAGUGAUAGUAAGAUGGUUUUCAUCUUAUUUGGACCUUGGUAUUAUUUUUAACUGUGCAUAGUAGGUCUUAUGUUAUUCUUUUAUUUGAUAAUGUUUUAAGAGUUCUUUAUUAAAAGUCCAUAAGGAGCUGCCCCAACUCCUAUGCUUCAUUAAUUAGCUUUGAGGUUUGCAUUUGUUAAUAUUGAAAGAAACUAUGUGUUUCUUUCUUAUGAAGUAGGCAACUAUUAUCAUUGUAAUUCUUAAAAUUGAUGCUUUUGACGUUACUUGUUGGGAACAUGCAAGUAAGUCUACUAGUUGAAUAUUCAUGUUGAUCCACUAAGGGCAUAUUUGAGUGCAUUUUUUUCUUCUAUUAUUUUUCUUUCAUGAACUUUAUAUCAAUAAAUCAACAUCGGAAUAAACAAGAGUUCAAGUUCAUUGCAUUGCUUUUCAAAUAUAUAACUUAAUUCAUUCAUCUUUCAUUUGCUUCAAUUUUUGAUUGACUGCUAUUUUUAUUUUUAUUAAUAAGUUUGAACUCGAUAAUGAAUCAAUUUUCAAAUCUCAUGUAUGAUUGUUUGAACAUUCAUCAGCCAGUAUAUGAUUAUGUAAAUUUUGUUGAAUUUUAAAUUUCAUCAUCUGGUCAGAUUUGGUUAAAACUCUUCAUAAUAUACAUUAGUUUUUCUUGUAAAUUAUUUUGAAUUCCUUUUCUUAUAAUUUUCUCAUUUUCUUGUAGUGGCUAUUUUGUGAAAAAUUAAAUCUGUCAAUGUUUAUUUUUAUUUUUUUUAAUUAACCUCUUUUGAUUUAUGUUACUCUAAUGUUAUUGAUAACCUCUCUGAAGCAAAAGCCUAAUGAAGAAGACUUUGACAGGGAUGAUGCCAAUGACAAGCUUGCAAAGGAAAUUGGCUUACAAGAAGAAGAGAAAUCAUUACAAUAAAGCAAUGUUGGAAAUCAUGAAGAUGAUAUCAUUUAAAUCUUUAAGAGGUUGAACUAGACUUUUGUUGAUGAUGGUUUCUUUUUGUAGUUAUUGCACCAGUAUUUGUUCUUAUAUUGGAUUUAAAAAUUCUCAUUGAAAUAUUUUGAUCUAAUGAUCAAAUUUAUAA